GCUGGUAUAGCUCAGUUGGCCAGAGCAUAUGGUUGUUAACCAUAAGGUCGGAGGCUCAAGGCUUUUCAAGCC
rnacentral:tRNA from 1 species